AGCACACUUGCGCCACAGUUGAGAUUCAUUGAGCGGUCAGACGGUUACACACACAAACAUUUUGCCCACACACACAUACCCUCAGAAAGUAGAUAGACACACUCUCAAAGUAGAGGGGUCUAAGUGGUCUUUUUGUGUGUGAAAUUGCAUGGCCUUCACUUACCUAUCUAGCACAAUAAAACACACACACACUACACACGCCACUGUAUGUCCAGGGCUAUGACAUUAUGUUCUGGCGCCAUAAAAAGAUGAAUCCUGUUCCUAAGUGUGUGUGUGUGUGUCUAUCAUCCCCUCUAGUGUAGGAGCAGUGGAACACAACACCAGUUCACCUCUAACAGAAAGUAGAGGGGUUGUGACCUGACAACUCCCACUACCUCUGUACUGUCGUGUAGAAUCUCUCACUUGCACAGCUCUGACUGAUCAUAUACGGUGGUUGUAUGGUACAUACACCGUAUGGUACCAUACACCGUCAUGAUCUCAAUGUACACAGGCAGGCUAUGUAUGGUCUAAUGCAGGGCUCUCCAACCCUGUUCCUUGAGAGAUAACCUCCUGUAGGUUAACUCCAAACCUGUUCCUGGAGAGCUACCCUGCUGUAGGUUAACUCCAAACCUGUUCCUGGAGAGCUACAUGCUGUAGGUUAACUCCAAACCUGUUCCUGGAGAGCUACCUGCUGUAGGUUAACUCCAAACCUGUUCCUGGAGAGCUACCUGCUGUAGGUUAACUCCAAACCUGUUCCUGGAGAGCUACCUGCUGUAGGUUAACUCCAAACCUGUUCCUGGAGAGCUACCUGCUGUAGGUUAACUCCAAACCUGUUCCUGGAGAGCUACCUGCUGUAGGUUAACUCCAAACCUGUUCCUGGAGAGCUACCUGCUGUAGGUUAACUCCAAACCUGUUCCUGGAGAGCUACCUGCUGUAGGUUAACUCCAAACCUGUUCCUGGAGAGCUACCUGCUGUAGGUUAACUCCAACCCUGUUCCUGGAGAGCUACCUGCUGUAGGUUAACU